GAGUGUUACAGCUCUUUUAGAAUUUUUCUUGCAGGUUUUUCGGUUCUCACUGGAAGACGCCCCC
ensembl:snRNA U7 U7 small nuclear RNA